UACGUAGGGUGCAAGCGUUGUCCGGAAUUAUUGGGCGUAAAGAGCUCGUAGGCGGUUUGUCGCGUCUGCUGUGAAAACUCGGGGCUUAACUCCGGGCCUGCAGUGGGUACGGGCAGACUAGAGUGCGGUAGGGGAGACUGGAAUUCCUGGUGUAGCGGUGAAAUGCGCAGAUAUCAGGAGGAACACCGGUGGCGAAGGCGGGUCUCUGGGCCGUAACUGACGCUGAGGAGCGAAAGCGCGGGGAGCGAACAGG
rnacentral:rRNA from 1 species